GGGGGAUAUUGCACAAUGGAGGAAACUCUGAUGCAGCGACGCCGCGUGAGGGAAGAAGGUCUUCGGAUUGUAAACCUCUGUCUUUGGGGACGAAUAAAAUGACGGUACCCAAGGAGGAAGCCACGGCUAACUACGUGCCAGCAGCCGCGGUAAUACGUAGGUGGCAAGCGUUGUCCGGAUUUACUGGGUGUAAAGGGUGCGUAGGCGGGUUAUCAAGUUGGAUGUGAAAUCUCCGUGCUUAACGCGGAGGCUGCAUUCAAAACUGGUAAUCUUGAGUGAGGUAGAGGCAGGCGGAAUUCCCCGUGUAGCGGUGAAAUGCGUAGAGAUCGGGAGGAACACCAGUGGCGAAGGCGGCCUGCUGGGCCUUAACUGACGCUGAUGCAUGAAAGCAUGGGGAGCAAAC
rnacentral:rRNA from 1 species